rnacentral:tRNA from 1 species
GUCCCUGUAGCGCAAUGGAUAGCGCGUUGGACUUCUAAUCCAAAGGUCGUGGGCUUGAAUCCCGCCUGUGAUG